CCCUUUAGGGAAUUGCCUUUUCUUUUUAUUUUCCUUCUUUUUUGUAUAAGUUUAUUUAUUUAUUCUUCUCCCCUCUAAAUCAAAGUUUUAUUUUGGACAUAAUGCAACAAACAACAAACCUACAAAACAAACAAACGUUUCCUUUUCAUUUACUUGUUUCUAACCACUCCUAAUUGUCACACACAACAUAAGAACUGAAUCUAAUUAUUUCUUACAAAUACCUUCCUCGUGGGAUCGAUAACUUUUUAUACUAUAACUUGAUUGGUUGUGCACUUGCAACAUUUGGUACAUGUUUUUGUUUCAUCGAAUUUUUAGCGUCGUUGCCGGGGAACGGUGUUUUUGUUAUAUUUUAAUUAUUUUGGUACUUUAACUUGUGUGUUUUCUUGUGAAGGAACCACUUGGAGCUUGAGAUUAAGGAUUGAAGAUUGAAGAUUUUGAGAUUAGCUUGAAGUUUGAUUCACAUUUUGGAUUUGCUUGAGGUAACGAGCCAGGUGCACGGAGAGCUGUAGCUUGAUGGAUUUGCUCUACUUACUACUUAUAGAUAUUUUAUUAGUUAGCAGAUUAUGUUUAGGACUCCACGACGACUUGGUUUAUGAACAUUGAGAUGUUAUUUCUAAUUUUGUAAAGGCAAGAUGCCUUAUUGUCAUGUCCUUUGUUCUAUGUCAAGACAGUUGUACUCAGUUCAGAUAUUGUUCCUUUUCUGAGA